AUGGUGGAACAAACGAGACGGCCGAGGCGCAUCGUCUCCCUCCAGGCUGGACCUGGUGAGGUGGGCACCGACGCCCUGUUGGACGUGAACCUCAGGAUAAACGACAGAGCUGCACAGGACUUUGGGCGACAGUUGGCCGUUAUCGGAGAUCAGCUGGACUGGGAGUGGACCGGCAGACCACCAAACUGGCUCCCGAACGCUCUUCACAUGCUGAGACCCGCUCGGGCGCUGACGAGGACCAUAUAUCGAGACAUCCACAGUCAGUUGUGGGGCUUCCAGGGCCCGUCUGCUGCGGUGAAGGCCUGCAUAGCGAGCACUGCGCCCGGGCUGGGGAUCCUCAGAGCGGCCGCCUGGGCAACCUGGGAGUCCAGUUUGAAACCAGUAACCUGCACUGGCUGGACCAGAGCACUGGUGACUGUGGCACUGGUGGCUGCAGUGACCAUGUUUGGUGGACUCUGGGUGGAAUGGAAAGCCUAAAAAAUAAAUUAAAAUAAAUAUUAAAAAAAGGGACCAUAAGCAGGUCUUUUAGGCCAUUAUAAAUGUGCAAAUUAAUUGCAAUUAUUGCCGUUUGUUUCUGCUGUUUACUUUUCCUUUUUAUACCAUUUGAAUGAUGUGUUGAAUUUGACGCUAUAUGACCGUAAACAGGAGUAAAAAAAAAUAAAUAAAACUAACAUUUGUGGAAAUAGUUUUGAUGCGGUGACGUGUUGGUUCACAGUUGUAUUAAAAUGUCAAGAAGCAUGUUUCCCAUGACCGGACUGUUGCUGGCCUGCAGUCUUUUGUAUCCAGAUGAGUUUCUUACUGGUUUAAGAGGCCAACAUUUUUACAAAUAUGCAGCCUGGCUUUAUAAAAAAAAUUUUAAAAAUAAAAAUGAUGAGAGCUGGACUUUCUGUUUCAGAUUUGAAUCUUUUUCAUGCGAUGCCAAUAAACUUACAAAUGACAA
rnacentral:lncRNA from 1 species